rnacentral:rRNA from 1 species
CGGGUGAGUAACACGUGAGCAACCUGCCCCUGACUCUGGGAUAAGCGGUGGAAACGCCGUCUAAUACCGGAUACGACCCGCCACCUCAUGGUGGAGGGUGGAAAGUUUUUCGGUCAGGGAUGGGCUCGCGGCCUAUCAGCUUGUUGGUGGGGUAACGGCCUACCAAGGCGAUUACGGGUAGCCGGCCUGAGAGGGCGACCGGCCACACUGGGACUGAGACACGGCCCAGACUCCUGCGGGAGGCAGCAGUGGGGAAUAUUGCGCAAUGGGCGAAAGCCUGACGCAGCGACGCCGCGUGGGGGAUGACGGCCUUCGGGUUGUAAACCUCUUUUACCACCAACGCAGGCUCGAAGUUCUCUUCGGGUUGACGGUAGGUGGGGAAUAAGGACCGGCUAACUACGUGCCAGCAGCCGCGGUAAUACGUAGGGUCCGAGCGUUGUCCGGAAUUAUUGGGCGUAAAGAGCUCGUAGGCGGCGUGUCGCGUCUGCUGUGAAAGACCGGGGCUUAACUCCGGUUCUGCAGUGGAUACGGGCAUGCUAGAGGUAGGUAGGGGAGACUGGAAUUCCUGGUGUAGCGGUGAAAUGCGCAGAUAUCAGGAGGAACACCGGUGGCGAAGGCGGGUCUCUGGGCCUUACCUGACGCUGAGGAGCGAAAGCAUGGGGAGCGAACAGGAUUAGAUACCCUGGUAGUCCAUGCCGUAAACGUUGGGCGCUAGGUGUGGGGACUUUCCACGGUUUCCGCGCCGUAGCUAACGCAUUAAGCGCCCCGCCUGGGGGAGUACGGCCGCAAGGCUAAAACUCAAAAGGAAUUGACGGGGGGCCCGCA